UGGAGUUCUUGGUGAAAGAAAGGGAAAUGAAACCUUGGAAUGUCUUGAAAUGAUGGCUUUGACCUGGAGAGACUGAAGACCUGAGACUUUUGGAUGAAGGGUGAAGCUGAAGGAAACAGAACUGAAUAACAGUUCUCAAAAGCAGAGGCCUGAAAAAUCAUAACUUUCUUCUUUUCCUCUAUGAAACUGGAUGCGUCAUAUGUAACUCAGAGCGUGGGACAUAUACAGGCUAGUUGUUCCAGCAAUAUAUCUGAAACACUCAAACUUUUCUCUUUAUGGAAGAGCAGAGAAGAGUUGAUGUAUCUGGGAGCUACUGACAAGCAAACACUCGAUCAUCACAGAAUACUAUGAAACUACUCUAAUAGCCUGUCUUCAACUUCUAGUGGCAA
rnacentral:lncRNA from 1 species